CUCCUUCUCUAUAGUUUUUCCCCAAUUUCUUAGGUUAUUUUUCAUUUAUAAACAAGUUAAAUGCCUAAGUACCCAUUAAGAAUUUUUAUCAAAACAAAACCCUAAAUCGCUCUCUCUCAUUUCACAGCCGACGCCCCACAAAUUCCGCUGUCCAAUUUCUAUCCACCAUGAGUUGCAUCGACGACGGAGUUUUGUUCAGCAGUUUGGAGCUCUACUCUACAACGAUAUGAAGUUGCACUCUACAAUGAAAAACAUACAAACACUAAUAUGUAGAAGUGGACUAUACUACUUUCAUAAAAAGCGGAAUCUCGAGCACACAAUGGUGGGAUCCACCCUAUAUGUGGUGCAGUUUGGGGUGAUCUGGAAGAGGUCAAAGAUUCAAUGAUGGACACUAUGAGGAGAGUAUAAGUAGAAUUGAUGCAAAUGGUGGAGUUUAGGGGUUACUUAAUAAUGUGGUCCACCUACCAUAGUGGUAUAGGUAUAGGUAUAGGUCCUAUGCAUGAAAAGGAUGUUUCGAAAGCGUGAUGCUAGAAAAGCAGAGAGAGUUUGCAACAAUAUUAGCUUGUGAUGUAGAAGUGACACCAGACCGAUAAAUACCCGGUGGGUUUUGAACAGUAAGAGUCAAAUCCCAAACACCUACUUAGGGUUUUAUUCAAAUCCUCUGUCUGAUUGCUUUGAUACAACGCGAAACCCUAAGGUGAAAUCCUAUUAAACAAGAUUUGUUCGAUGCUUUUGACUCUUCUUCCUCAUUGAUGCAACGUGAUAAAUGAAAUUCUAACUCAACUCGAAUAUUUCAUUUAUCGCAUUAGGAAGAAGAGUCAGAAGCACCGGACAGGAUUUCAUGUAAGGGUUUGGUGUUGUAUCAAAGCGGAAAAAGAAUCAGACAAAGGAUGACGUUGGGGGUCUGGAGGAUAAGUUUAGGGGUCUGGGUUUGUCGAGAAAGUGCAACAACGUUCUUGAACCUCCACAUGAACAAGAAGAACUAGCUAGUAAGUUUACGGUAUUGGAAGUAUUGACGUUGAAGUGGUUAAUGGACUCCUUCAAGAAGGAGACGAGAUUGUUGUCUAUGGGUUUCAUGGACCAACUCUCAAUAUUGACUCUCGAAGCAAAGAAAGAAAAACGUUUACUGUCUUCUUAGGUCACACAAGAGUUUGGACUGUAGAAAAAUUCAGAAUUACUGCACAGUUGAUGUCAAUUUACAUAAAUAUAGGUAAAUAUUUACCCUUGUUUUUGUAAUUGACCCGUAACAUCUUAUUUUUUCGAGCUGAAUCUCGAGCACACAGUGGUGGGGUCCACCCUAUAUGUGGUGCGGUUUGGGGAUGAUCUGGAAGAGGUCAAAGAUUCGAUGAUGAAGACUAUGAGGAGAGUAAUAAGUAGAAUUGAUGCAAAUGGUGGAGUUUAGGGGUUACUUAAUAAUGUGGUCCACCUACCUGUUAGUGGUAUUGGUAUAGGUCCUGUGCAUGAAAAGGAUGUUUCGAAAGCUGGUUUGAUGCUAGAAAAGCAGAGAGAGUUUGCGGCAAUAUUAGCUUGUGAUGUAGAAUUGACACCAGACCGAUAGAUACCCGGCGGAUUUCGAGCUUCCGUUAUAUGGUGUUUCGUUCUCAUUUAUUCGUCUUUAUAUGUACUAUUGAUUUCUCCGUUACCGGGCAACUUUUUGGCUCA